AUUAAAGCUUGAUUUCUGCAUUGAAUAUGACGAGCUAUUCUUUGAUUUUUUUCUCGAUAUUUUCUUUUCUUGACUGCAAUCAAAUGAAGACAAUUUCAAUUAACCUUUUUCAGAUACUGAUCGUAUUCCAAAUUUAGCAAUGAGAAAAAUCCUUUGAAUCGCACUAUUUAUAUCCCAUCAACAAAGACUUGAAGCAAUCCCGACAAACCGGAAUGAGUACCAGAUGACUGAAAAAACGAUCUGAUCCCUAGGCAUUGGCUUGUAUCAAGAAUAAUGUAAUUACAGCUGACUCCGUAUACAUUGUGGGAUUGCAUAUAUAAGCUGGAAUCAACAUGUCAAAGGCAUCAUUUGAAUCACACAGAUCAAAUACCUAUACAAGAUGUUCGCUAAAAUCAUCCUCCUUGCCUUCGCUCUCUUCGCAUUAGCAUUCGCUGCACCAGAACCAAGGCCCCAAUUUAUUGUUCCAGCCGCCAACGCUUACAACGCAUACUCAGCACCUUUGGCCUACUCUCCUUACUCUGCUUUGCCUUACUCAGGUUACGCUGGUGUUUAUGGAGCUGUCCAACCUGGUGCUGUUAUUGUUUGAACGACUGAAUAUGUAAACAAAGAUAUAGAUUUCAAUGAAAAUAAUAGUUUGGUAAUAUCAUUAGAAAAUUUCAUACAAUAAAUUCAAUAUAAUACAAA